UGGGGAAUAUUGCACAAUGGGCGCAAGCCUGAUGCAGCCAUGCCGCGUGUAUGAAGAAGGCCUUCGGGUUGUAAAGUACUUUCAGUCGGGAGGAAGGUGUCAAGGUUAAUAACCUUGGCAAUUGACGUUACCGACAGAAGAAGCACCAGCUAACUCCGUGCCAGCAGCCGCGGUAAUACGGAGGGUGCAAGCGUUAAUCGGAAUUACUGGGCGUAAAGCGCACGCAGGCGGUUGAUUGAGUCAGAUGUGAAAUCCCCGGGCUUAACCCGGGAAUUGCAUCUGAUACUGGUCAGCUAGAGUCUUGUAGAGGGGGUAGAAUUCCAUGUGUAGCGGUGAAAUGCGUAGAGAUGUGGAGGAAUACCGGUGGCGAAGGCGGCCCCCUGGACAAAGACUGACGCUCAGGUGCGAAAGCGUGGGGAGCAAACAGG
rnacentral:rRNA from 1 species